rnacentral:rRNA from 1 species
GACGAACGCUGGCGGCGUGCUUAACACAUGCAAGUCGAGCGAGGCCCCUCCUUCGGGAGGGUGUCCUAGCGGCGAACGGGUGAGUAACACGUGGGCAACCUGCCCUCAGCUCUGGGAUAACUCCGGGAAACCGGGGCUAAUACCGGAUACGACCUCCACGGGCAUCUGCGGAGGUGGAAAGUUUUUCGGCUGAGGAUGGGCCCGCGGCCUAUCAGCUAGUUGGUGGGGUAGUGGCCCACCAAGGCGACGACGGGUAGCCGGCCUGAGAGGGCGACCGGCCAAACUGGGACUGAGACACGGCCCAGACUCCUACGGGAGGCAGCAGUGGGGAAUAGUGCGCAAUGGGCGAAAGCCUGACGCAGCGACGCCGCGUGAGGGACGAAGGCCUUCGGGUUGUAAACCUCUUUCAGCAGGGACGAAGCGAAAGUGACGGUACCUGCAGAAGAAGCACCGGCCAACUACGUG